rnacentral:tRNA from 1 species
AGCUCAGUCAGUUGAGCGUGGUGCUAGCAACGCUAAGGUGGCAGGUUCGAUUCCUGU